rnacentral:rRNA from 1 species
AAGGAAUAUUGGUCAAUGGACGCAAGUCUGAACCAGCCAUGCCGCGUGGAGGAUGAAGGUCCUCUGGAUUGUAAACUUCUUUUAUCUGGGACGAAACACUUCUUUUCUAAGAGGCCUGACGGUACCAGAUGAAUAAGCACCGGCUAACUCCGUGCCAGCAGCCGCGGUAAUACGGAGGGUGCAAGCGUUAUCCGGAUUCACUGGGUUUAAAGGGUGCGUAGGUGGGUAUGUAAGUCAGUGGUGAAAUCCCCGAGCUUAACUUGGGAACUGCCAUUGAUACUAUAUAUCUUGAAUACCGUAGAGGUAAGCGGAAUAUGUCAUGUAGCGGUGAAAUGCUUAGAUAUGACAUGGAACACCAAUUGCGAAGGCAGCUUACUAUGCGGUGAUUGACACUGAGGCACGAAAGCGUGGGUAGCAAACA